rnacentral:rRNA from 1 species
UACGAACUGUGCAAACGUUAUUCGGAAUCACUGGGCUUAAAGGGUGCGUAGGCGGCUUGUUAAGUAGGGUGUGAAAGCCCCCGGCUUAACCGGGGAAUUGCGCCCUAAACUGGCGAGCUGGAGUGAGAUAGGGGUGUGUGGAACUUCCGGUGGAGCGGUGAAAUGUGUUGAUAUCGGAAGGAACGCCAGUGGCGAAAGCGACACACUGGGUCUCAACUGACGCUGAGGCACGAAAGCCAGGGGAGCAAACGGG